AUCAUCCUUGUCAUAGAGCAUGAUUUGUCAUAUCUUUCAUAUGCCUGGUUAUAUAAGCUUUCAGAUUCCUGAUAGUAUAACUUAUGUCUGAGCCAAAACUAGUUCCAUAGCUUGAUUUCAGAGUGAAAGGUCAACUUGGUUCACUAUAACAUAGAUCAGAACUUAAACAUGCCUUGUUCCUGAAACACUUGGUUAGAAAGAUGAACUUUUACAAAGUUCUCAGAAAAAUUACAAAGUUAAAAGCAUGUUUGGAUUUCAAAAUGGAAUUAGAU
rnacentral:lncRNA from 1 species